GACGAACGCUGGCGGCGUGCUUAGCACAUGCAAGUCGAACGAUGAAGCUGGAGCUUGCUCCGGUGGAUUAGUGGCGAACGGGUGAGUAACACGUGAGCAAUCUGCCCUUCACUCUGGGAUAACUGCGGGAAACUGUAGCUAAUACCGGAUACGAGGCUUGGAGGCAUCUCCAGGUCUGGAAAGAAUUUCGGUGAAGGAUGAGCUCGCGGCCUAUCAGCUUGUUGGUGAGGUAAUGGCUCACCAAGGCGACGACGGGUAGCCGGCCUGAGAGGGUGACCGGCCACACUGGGACUGAGACACGGCCCAGACUCCUACGGGAGGCAGCAGUGGGGAAUAUUGCACAAUGGGCGAAAGCCUGAUGCAGCAACGCCGCGUGAGGGAUGAAGGCCUUCGGGUUGUAAACCUCUUUUAGCAGGGAAGGAGCGAAAGUGACGGUACCUGCAGAAAAAGCACCGGCUAACUACGUGCCAGCCGCCGCGGUAA
rnacentral:rRNA from 1 species